rnacentral:rRNA from 1 species
GUAGCUGUAGGUGAACCUGCUGCUGGAUCAUUAC